ensembl:lncRNA
UCUUGGGCGCGAGCGGCCGCAUCUUUAGCGCCCCCGCUGGAGAGCCCGAGAAGACACCCAUUCACCCUCGGAGAGGCCGGCGGUGAAGGUGACCGGGCCACAGGGUGGGGCCGGAGGCGGAACCCGUGACGCAGUACGGCUAUGGCCAGCAUCUGGGCUAAGCUGCGGAUCUUGGAGGGCCGGACACUGGUGAGAAGCGCGAGGGCUCCACGGAGUCCCUGUCUUCCAUCUCCACAGGCUCCCAACCUUGGCCUCUCCUCAAGAAUCCUCUGCCUUCCUUUCUUCCUUCCCCUGAUCCUGGCCUUGGGUCCUCUCUUCUCCCCCUGGUACCCCUUCUUUCCCUGAUUCCUCACCCCCUCGGGUUUCUCCGGACCUUCCCUGCUUCAAGUCUUCUCUCUUUUCAUCUCCUCCGCCCCUCCUUCCCUUCUCUCGUCUGCCAGCCCCCUCCAGCCUUCCCUUCCUCAUGCUUCCCUCGAGCCCCUAGGCCCUCCUUUCCCUCCCACAGAACAGGUCGGCCUCUGUGGUGCCUAACAUCUCUCCAAAACUUACGGUCCUUCCUCAGCCCCAGGGAUAACAGCGGAAAGGCUGCAGGCUGAAGAGCUAAGAUGGAGCCAGACCCGAAUGUUCUUCUCUUGGCUGGUAAGCACCCACAGGCACACCUCCUAUCCCUCCAGAAGAACUUAUGGACUUUGACCAAGAUAUGUGGCACUAGGCUUCCAGCCCAAUUCCUCAUUUCCCUUAUCUGGAAGGUGAUAGGUUCAACUCAGUGAUUUCGUAAGAUUCCCUCUAGGGUUAACUCUCUGAAAUUCUGUGCCCAUCCUGCUUAGGUUUGCUUCCAAGGCAUCCUUCAAGACCCAAAGAGAGAGAGAGAGUCCAGGGAGGUAGAGAUUUAGAAAGAAAGUUGAUAGAUCAGAGAGAGACAGAAAUAGAUUAAUCUACAAGUAGAGAUGUUUGUAUAUCUCUCUUCUCUCUCUCUCUGCCUCUUUCUCUCCCUGUCUUUUUUCUUCCUACUUCCUGCCUCUAUAUAUGUUUGUUGUUUUUCAGUGGUGCCUGACUCUUAGUUACCCUAUUUGAGGUCUUUUCUUCCUUUGUUCCUUUAUUCCUUUCUUUCUUUCCCUCUGUCUCUGUCUGCCUCUCUGUCUCUCUCUGUCCCUGUUUCUUUCCUCUUUUUUCUUCUUUGUCUUUGUUUCUCUCUCUCUUUCUCUCUCUCUCUCUCUCUCUCUCUCUCUCUCUCUCUCUAUAUAUAUAUAUAUAUAUAUAUAUAUAUAUAUAUAUAUAUAUAUAUAUAUAAUAUAUAUAUAUACACUAUAUGUUGUUCUUCAGUGAUGCCUGACUCUUAGUUACCCUAUUUGCAUUUUUCUCUUUUUUCCCUCUUUCUGUUUCUCUCCUCUCCCCCCCCCCCCAUAUAUAUUUGUUGCUCAUCAAUGGUGCCUGACUCUUACUAUAUUUGAGGUUUUCUUUCUUUUUAAAAAAACUCUCACCUUCCAUCUUAGAAUCAACGUUCUAUAAUGGUUCUAAGGCAGAAGACUGGUAAGGACUUAAGUGACUUGCUCAUGGUCACACAGCUAGAAAGUGUCAAGGCCAGAUUUGAACCCA